rnacentral:snRNA from 12 species
UUGCGACACACCGUCACCUAGAGACGCGUGUCCAGGCUCGGAGAGGACCCUGUGUAGAUCGCAGACCAGGGCUGGAGAUCCUAGCCGAUUCUACCACACGUCGGGCUUGGUUGAAGAUGAAAGAUUGAGAUCACAGAUUGUGGAUCGUGUUGGUAGUUGCCAGGGUCAAAGGUGGAGUUUGGAGAUGGAGAACACAGAGCGUAGAUCCUCGCGCCGGGGGCGCCGAGAUGGAGCCAUCCGCAACUCACCCAA